rnacentral:misc_RNA from 1 species
GAUGAAGAACGUAGCGAAAUGCGAUAAGUAAUGCGAAUUGCAGAAUUUCCGUGAGUCAUCGAAUCUUUGAACGCACAUUGCGCCCACUGGUAUUCCGGUGGGCAUGCCUGUUCGAGCGUCAUUAUCCCCCCUCAAACCCCGUGUUUGGUGUUAGACCCAUGUUGUAUGAACAACUGGUCUCAAAGACAAUGACGGCGUCCGUGGGACCCUCGGUGCAACGAGCUUUUAGGAGCACGCGCCGAGUUUCAAGGACCCUCCGGGCCGGUCUCCUAUUUAUCAUCAAGGUUGACCUCGGAUCAGGUAGGAAUACCGCUGAACUUAAGCAUAUCAAUAAGCUGAGGA